GUUAGUCUGUUACUGAAACUGGCCGAGAUUACUAAAUAACACUGGAUGAACUGUAAUGUUAAAGAACAAUUAAUGUAGUUUUUGUGCAAUAAACCAGUAAUAUAUACAUUUGUUUUCAUUUAUGAGUCAGAUGAAAGUGGGCUAAUUUGUGAACUGGAAAAACACAAAUAACCGUAUUUUAUAUGCUUUUGACACAUCAAGAAGUUAGAAUUAUGAAGAACCUCAAUGUACAAUUCAAAUAAAAUAGUUAUUCUGCAUUAUUCACAAAUCUGAACAUAUCUUUAAAUAGACAUCCAUACUCCAAGACCAGCCAACUUUGCAGAGGCUGUUUGGCAAGAUCUAGUAUACUUUUCCUGAGAAAUAAUUGGUCCCACUUCUUCCAGGACCUAUGUAUGUUAUUACCCAGGGUUUGGCACAGAGAUGCCUGGAUCUCUUUCUACCUGAAUUAUGAUACAGUCUUUGUUAUGCAAACAGAAAAGACUAACCCAACUUUCAUGUGAUUAGCCGUCUGUGAAUUCUGCAUCACACAUAAAAAGAGUUCCAGAAAAAAAUCAAAAUAACAACACAUGAGCAAACCAAAGUUUAAAAAUUAUAAAAGCUAUUUCUGAUUGAUUUGGAAAAAUCGGUACGGUCAUCACAUUAAGGUUUCCUACUCAUUCACCUUCAUCAUAAAGUUGCGAAGUAUUUACAACAGUGGAAUAUUUAUCUUGACCAUUUCUUUGAAGAGAGUGCAUGAGUUUAUAGAUCUGUUUUGUUUAUUUAAAAAAAAUUUGCUUAUGAAAACAAAGCAAAAUAGUGCCUUUCCAAUCUGUGUAUUACAGCAUAUUGUUACAAUUAAACAGCAAUGAAUUGUGUUCAA